CCUACGGGUGACAGCAGUGAGGAAUAUUGGUCAAUGGGCUUACGCCUGAACCAGCGAAGUCGCGUGAGGGAAGAAUGCCCUAUGGGUUGUAAACCUCUUUUGUCAGGGAGCAACGCCGGCUACGUGUAGACGGACUGAGAGUACCUGACGGAAAAGCAUCGGCUAACUCCGUGCCAGCAGACGCGGUAAUACGGAGGAUGCGAGCGUAAUCCGGAUUUAUUGGGUGUAAAGGGUGCGUAGGCGGAAUGCCAAGUCAGCGGUAAAAUCGCGGGGCUCAACCUCGAUCCGCCGUUGAAACUGGCGUUCUUGAGUGGGCGAGAAGUAUGCGGAAUUCGUGGUGUAGCGGUGAAAUGCAUAGAUAUCACGCAGAACUCCGAUUGCGAAGGCAGCAUACCGGCGCCCAACUGACGCUGAAGCACGAAAGCGUGGGUAUCGAACAGGAUUAGAUACCCUUGUAGUC
rnacentral:rRNA from 1 species